AUGCUUUUAUAGGAUAAAUACUAAAUUUGUAACAGUACAGAGUAGAUUAGCAUGGCCCCCUAGUCAAAGAUGAUAGUCAAACUUAUGAACUGUUUUAUAGUUCU